rnacentral:rRNA from 1 species
UGGGGAAUAUUGGACAAUGGGCGCAAGCCUGAUCCAGCCAUGCCGCGUGUGUGAAGAAGGCCUUCGGGUUGUAAAGCACUUUUGUCCGGAAAGAAAAGCUUAGGGUUAAUAACCCUGAGUCAUGACGGUACCGGAAGAAUAAGCACCGGCUAACUUCGUGCCAGCAGCCGCGGUAAUACGAAGGGUGCAAGCGUUACUCGGAAUUACUGGGCGUAAAGCGUGCGUAGGUGGUUUGUUAAGUCUGAUGUGAAAGCCCUGGGCUCAACCUGGGAAUGGCAUUGGAAACUGGCUUACUAGAGUGCGGUAGAGGGUAGCGGAAUUCCCGGUGUAGCAGUGAAAUGCGUAGAUAUCGGGAGGAACAUCCGUGGCGAAGGCGGCUACCUGGACCAGCACUGACACUGAGGCACGAAAGCGUGGGGAGCAAACAGGAUUAGAUACCCUGGUAGUCCACGCCCUAAACGAUGCGAACUGGAUGUUGGGGGCAACUUGGCCCUCAGUAUCGAAGCUAACGCGUUAAGUUCGCCGCCUGGGA